rnacentral:rRNA from 1 species
UAAGCGUGUGAUGAAAUUUUUGGGGCUCAACCCCAAAACUGUUAUGCGAACUGCAUCGCUAGAGUAUAUGAGAGGUAGCUGGAAUUUCUAAUGUAGGAGUGAAAUCCGUAGAUAUUAGGAGGAACACCAAUGGCGUAGGCAGGCUACUGGCAUAUUACUGACACUGAGGCACGAAAGCGUGGGGAGCGAACGGGAUUAGAUACCCCGGUAGUCCACGCCGUAAACGAUGGAUGCUA